rnacentral:lncRNA from 1 species
GCGUCAAAAUUUAGUGUUGUAAGCGACGUACACUCAAGCUGAGACAACCACCUUCGCUAUGUUCGUUAAAUUUACGCUUUGUUGCCCAUUGUUUAAGGUCAUUUAGUGUCCCCGGCUUGUUCAUUCCUUUCUCUGUCAGUGUAACGAGAGCAUAUAUGGUCAGUGGGUGAAGCGACAAUGUUACGCGAUAUAACGUCAGUAUUACUUGGUGGCUCCAAAGGGCUGCCCCCGACACUCGCCUUCCUCUUCAAGCUGGCCUGGGCCUCACGAGUACGCCUCCCCUUACUCAUAGCGAUCGGAUUCAUGGUAACCAACAUUCACCUGCGUCUUGAAAUCAACGUGAACAUUGAGGUUGGCGAAGACGAUCCCCCUCCUAAUGACCAGCAGCAGCAGUUGCAAUUGGCUCAUGAUUAAGGUCAAUAUAUGUGGUGUUGAAUAUGCGUACCUGCUGGACUUAAUGUAUUUUCAUGUAUUUUAAAUUUCAUGAUGGUGAGCGAGAUGUAUUAUCACUUCUUGGUAUUUAGUUGUGUUGUCGUUUUAAUGUAAUUGUUCAAAUGAAUUAGGCACUUAUAAAUGAGACUGAAUUUGAUUAUAUUUCAAUAUGUAGUUAUGCAAAGUGUAAACAUGGAAAUCUGAUAUUACAAGCAGGAUAUGCAUACUUUUCAUUUCAAGAAAGUUGAUUGAUAUUUAAAUGAAAAAAUAUAUGACCUUUUUUUUUUAAUGUAUUUGUCAGUGUGAGUGCUGGAGUCACCUUUGAAAGAUCUUUAUUCUUAUGUUUGAAUAUUCAUUUUGCAUUUUAUAUAUUGUGUUUUCAGUCAGUAUCUGACAAUGGAAAUAUUGUUUUAUUGUGGGAAAUAAAGGUGAAGACAUUGCAAAAUGUAUCUCUUGAGUCAUUUAAGGAAAGUCUUGUUCUUGGAUUCAUUUGCAAAAUGGUUAUAAUCCCAGUAUAUGAAUGUUUUAGUAUUAUUUGAAAUUGAAGGAUGAUUAACAGAGAGAGAAUUUUGUAAAAUACAUUUUCUUUUUUCCUUAUUGACUCUUGAAUUUUCAUGCAAAUCUAAAUUAAUAAAUCUCAUGAUUGCAGUUCAGUUGCAUACACCUUAUGGAGAGUACCUCACCUCUGAAUUAAUGAUAAUAAUAAUAAAAAAAAUUAUUUACAAAAGGCUUACCAUACAAGAAUGUCCAUCAUUUGAUGUUAUGAUGAUCCCAGUUGUAUAUUUACUUACCAUAUAUGGGUUAUAUAUAUCAAAUAUAUGGCUGUGACCUACCCCCAUUUAGUACAUUUGUCUCAGAAUCAAGGAGUCUGGAUCACAGAGAUGAGAAUUUAUGUGCAGGAUGUGUGUGCUAUCCUUAGUUCCUUUGUUACUUUAUGUAUCAAUUUAUUCACUUUCCUUUAAUUAUUUAUUAUGAAAGACAACUGUGCAUGUCUUUUUUUUUCUGUUUAAUAAGCGUGGGUACUAUUCUGCAUAUACACACGUCAGCAUGUGUGUAUGUACAUGCAUGUGUAUUAUGUAAUAGCUUAUCUAUAUGUUAAUGUAUAUGAAUUUUCAUAGAUGGUACUUGAUAAUUUUUCUUAGAAAAUGAAGAUUCAGAUACUGCUAUUUAUACCUGAACAGUAUACUUUCAUUGUUACUAUGUCUGUUUUCUUUGGAAUUCAAUUUGUUUUUAUUUUUAUUUAUUUAUCUAUUUUUUAUUAUUGAUAUUAUUAUUAUUAUUAAUUGAUGGUAUUAUUAUUAUUUUAUUAUUAUUAUUAUUGAACUUGUGUAUAUCAGUUUACAUUAUUAUUGUUUUCAUUAUUUUAAUCAUUAUUAAUAAUAAGUUUUAUUGUUCAUAAAGAAAAUGUGGACCUUCUUUUCUUUCAGUAGAAUAAAUGGUUUUUAAUCAGAUGCAAAUGUAAAAAUUGUAUAUAAUAAUAUAUACAAUUUGUGAUUAUCAGAUGAAUCCAUAUUACAAUUUGUUUUCAUGCCCUCAGUUUUUAUUAUUAUUAUUAUUAUUAUUAUUAUUAUUAUUAUUAUAAAUUUAACAUAAUUUUUAAAUUGAAAUAUCUUCCUCCUUUCAGUCUGUAUGUAUAGUAAAGAUUCAAUUGAAUUGGAGUUUAGCUUCAUAUCUGUAGGAAGCACUACAUGACUAUUUAUUUAUUUAUAUCAUAAUGUUAUACAAUAAAGGUAACUUGAUAAAUAUUAGUACCCUUUCAAUAGAUAUUGGCCAGUGUCCUUUCACUUCAUCAGCGGCAUAUUUUCAACAGUGUGAUUCUGUAAUGUGUAGGUCCCAAUAAGGGAGGUCCUUCUAAAUAAUAUUAUGUAAGAUUCCUCUACCUGAGACUGUCUUUAUGAACUUGCAUAAGCUUUAACUUAUCAUACUGUAUUACCAAAGUUUCUGUACUUCUUUCUAUUUUCACGUGCUGCCUUAAAUAAUCAACUGAUGCGAGUGUACGUGUGCUCCGCUGUACACUUUUCUCUUGAACUGUUCUUGAACGACCUUUAAAUAUUAGUGUUUUUCCGAGAUUUUAUGUCUUGAUUUGAAAUAUAUUUUGUGAAAAGUGA